GCGCGAAACCUCCGCAAUGUGAGAAAUCGCGACGGGGGGACCCCAAGUGCCAUUCUUAACGGGAUGGCUUUUCUUAAGUGUAAAAAGCUUUGGAAUAAGAGCUGGGCAAGACCGGUGCCAGCCGCCGCGGUAACACCGGCAGCUCUAGUGGUAGCCAUUUUUAUUGGGCCUAAAGCGUUCGUAGCCGGUUUAAUAAGUCUCUGGUGAAAUCCCGUAGCUUAACUAUGGGAAUUGCUGGAGAUACUAUUAGACUUGAGGUCGGGAGAGGUUAGAGGUACUCCCAGGGUAGGGGUGAAAUCCUGUAAUCCUGGGAGGACCACCUGUGGCGAAGGCGUCUAACUGGAACGAACCUGACGGUGAGGGACGAAAGCUAGGGGCGCGAACCGGAUUAGAUACCCGGGUAGUCCUAGCCGUAAACGAUGCGGACUUGGUGUUAGGAUGGCUUUGAGCCGCCCUAGUGCCGAAGGGAAGCUGUUAAGUCCGCCGCCUGGGAAGUACGGUCGCAAGACUGAAACUUAAAGGAAUUGGCGGGGAGCACCACAACGCGUGGAGCCUGCGGUUU
rnacentral:rRNA from 1 species